CAACAAGACAAACACUUCAACAACAGUAAUAUUAAUACUAUCGUCCUCUGAGGUCAUUUUCACUACAGUUUAUAAUUGAAUAGUUGUGUUCGUAUGUAACAAGAGUUUGCUGAGUGAUAUGAGAAAUAUAAUAGUAGCCAUGGACGACGUAUUGACCAAUCAGAGUAUACCAGAGCGCCGUGGAAUAAAAGUAAAUAAUUAAGGAAUAAAUCAUUAGAAAGUAGCACUCAGCCAUGACUAAACCAACACAAUAUUGUUUGUAUAUGCAUCACAAAGCCAGACUAAAGCCAGCUGUGAGGCUUUUAGACCCUGCAGGAAAACACACGCUGGUGCUGUGAGAGUCAGAGAUGCAGAAAGUAGUGCAUGUGUGAGUAAAGUUCGUUUCGAAGGCAGACAGGUAAACUGUCCCGUUAAGAGGGCAGCACUGCAGGCUCCUGCUGAGAAGUGUGAGAGGAGAGCAGAUGGCAGAAAGGGCAGGAAAAAAUCAGACAGAAGGGGGUUGCUGCUUUUUCACCACAAAAAAUAGGGCCGUAGCAGACAGCCAGCAUGAGGUGGGCUCGAAAGACAGCGGUGAUCCCUACAGCAGCAGUCUGCGUGGCCACGACCACUAAGAUUACCGUAUUAGAGAACAAUACAGAAAAGGCAUGCAACAGUUUUGAUCUGAUCACUGUUUAUUGUUCAGACUGAAUUGACGAUGUUCAGGAAACUUCUUGUGCACUUCAGUGUGUACGACCAUCAUUCAAAUCAACACAUUACACAUUGCUACCUCCAAUAUCAGACGUGCCAUGGUAGAGGUUUAUCUCUAGUCAUUGUCAUGCUGCAGGUUAUUGUGAUAAUGAGUUACUGAUGUUAUAAUUGUAGAUAUAGAGGUAUACUGAUUAUGAUACUGAGGGUAUUAAACACUUACAUGAAUAAUUGUACAGCAUUCCUUCAGCAUUACCUCACUAUAGUUAUACUGUCUGUACUAUAAAUUCUCAAGGGGUGCUAAAUUCAUCUAUUAGUCCUAAUAUAUUCCACCUGAAAAGGGACGGCAUAGCAAUUAUGAGAUCAUAUAAAAAAAAUUCUGUGCAAUAUAUCGGUUUCCGAAGCUUUAAAAAAGUAUUUUUUCUUGCUAUACGCUUUAUGCACUUAAUAUUUAUAGAUUUGAAGGUGCUUAAUACCGGAAGUUUGUUAAUUACUAAAACAGCAGUUGAAUCUAGAUUUAUAUGAAUAUCUAGCUGAUCAUUUAAAGCCAAUGAGUAUAUUUAUGGAAUUCCUGAAUCGACAUUGUAUAGUUCUGGAAUACAUAAAUAGUAUUAAGCACUGUACAUUUUAUGGUUUGUUUUGUAUGUUUCGUAUUCACAUUAUUACUGUCAAGUUACCAAUCAACGCUGACAAACAGUUUUGCACCACUUUGGCAGUCAUAAAACAGUUCUUGUAAUUGGCAGAUCAGUCUGCAGACUCCAUUCCAGAUGAAUGAGAUGGUGAUUUAUGAAGUACUGUAAAUAGAAAAAACCCAGAAGACUUCCAUAUCAGGCCACAGUCAUUUCUGUUUCACAGUCUUUUCUCUUCAGCCACCACCACAUUGUCAAUUUGUAUAUUUCUAACCACAUUACUUGUCUCCAGUCAGAGAAGUGCUUUGAAAAGUCUGCCAUAAUGGUGGUCUA